rnacentral:rRNA from 1 species
GAUGAACGCUGGCGGCGUGCCUAAUACAUGCAAGUCGAACGAAACUUCUUUAUCACCGAGUGCUUGCACUCACCGAUAAAGAGUUGAGUGGCGAACGGGUGAGUAACACGUGGGCAACCUGCCCAAAAGAGGGGGAUAACACUUGGAAACAGGUUCUAAUACCGCAUAACCAUAGUUACUGCAUGGUAACUAUGUAAAAGGUGGCUAUACUACCGCUUUUGGAUGGGCCCGCGGCGCAUUAGCUAGUUGGUAGGGUAAAGGCUUACCAAGGCAAUGAUGCGUAGCCGAAUUGAGAGGUUGAUCGGCCACAUUGGGACUGAGACACGGCCCAAACUCCUACGGGAGGCAGCAGUAGGGAAUCUUCCACAAUGGGCGAAAGCCUGAUGGAGCAACGCCGCGUGGGUGAAGAAGGUCUUCGGAUCGUAAAACCCUGUUGUUAGGGAAGAAAGUGCGUGAGAGUAACUGUUCACGUUUCGACGGUAUCUAACCGGAAAGCCACGGCUAACUACGUG